rnacentral:misc_RNA from 1 species
AAGUCGUAACAAGGUUUCCGUAGGUGAACCUGCGGAAGGAUCAUUUCCGAAAACAACUCUUACAAACCAAUCUUGUGGAAUGUUUUGGGUUUUUUUACUCUAGAAAGGUGGGGCUUAGUUGCUCUAAUAGUGACAGCAGUUUUGUGCCAGUGGGCACCUUGGCUGCUGCCCUCCUAUUACGCAAUGCUUGACGCCCUACUCUUCUAGAGGCCAUGAUGAACUACCUUCGGGUUGAUAGUGUCGUUUUUUCACUCUUGUUGUCUUCGGGCAACAACACAAAAAACUAAUGAUACAACAACUUUUAACGGUGGAUCUCUUGGCUCGU